UACAGAGGGGGCAAGCGUUAUUCGGAAUUAUUGGGCGUAAAGGGCGCGUAGGCGGCUUUUCAAGUGACGGGUGAAAUCCCUCGGCUUAACCGAGGAACUGCCUGUCAGACUGGAAGGCUUGAGACCGGGAGAGGUGAGUGGAAUUCCCAGUGUAGCGGUGAAAUGCGUAGAUAUUGGGAGGAACACCAGUGGCGAAGGCGGCUCACUGGACCGGAACUGACGCUGAGGCGCGAAAGCGUGGGGGAGCAAACAGGG
rnacentral:rRNA from 1 species